UACAGAGGUCUCAACCGUUGUUCGGAUUCAUUGGGCGUAAAGGGUGCGUAGGCGGUCGCGCAAGUCGGAUGUGAAAUCUCAGGGCUCAACCCUGAAACUGCAUUCGAUACUGCGUGGCUAGAGUGCUGGAGAGGAGACUGGAAUUUUACGGUGUAGCAGUGAAAUGCGUAGAUAUCGUAAGGAAGACCAGUGGCGAAGGCGAGUCUCUGGACAGCAACUGACGCUGAGGCACGAAGGCCAGGGGGAGCAAACGGGG
rnacentral:rRNA from 1 species